UUAUUAGAAGGGGCAAGCAAGAAUUAUUUUCUUUUCACAAAGAAAGGAGAAAAAGUACUCACACUCACUUUAUCAGAAGAUCAGUGUUCCAAACACCGUUGUUACUUGUGCCCUCGUAAAUCCUCGUGCUCAUUUCAUCAAUUGCCACAUUUAUUCAAAGUUCAAACUCUAGGCAAAGUUCUUCGCAGUGAAGAGGAACCUAAGCAGAAGAUUCAAGAUCUGUAAUGUUUCCUGUGAGAGAGCCAAAGUUAUAGAUCUGAUCUCAUGGGAACAGUUGAAGAGACAACAACAUGUAUUUUCUUUUCAGUCUUUGCGUGAACCUUUCAGCAACUGUGAUUUCCUUGAUUAAUCCUGUUUUGUGUUUUCCACUCCCCUGCCUCUUCGUUAAAAUCCUUUUAUUGAAAGAUAUGGUUAUUUAAUUUAUGAAUGUCGUUUUGUUUAUUUUCUUUUUCCGUUCACUUUCACUCAAUUACUCCAUUGUUGAUAAAGGUAUGGCAAUGGACCGUGAUUGCCAUGUAAAGGAAGAGGCCGUGCAUGACCGCAUUUGCGCCCAGGAACAAAAGAUGAGUUUUUCAUUCUCAAGCGCAAAUAACAACUAAGAAGUCCUUUCUUCUUUGUUUUUUUGUUUUUCUUUUUCUUUUACCUUAAUAUGAAAAAAAUCCAAAAUAGGAUGUUCUAAAGUAUGAUAUUUUUUUAUCUUUUGUAGGAUCCGGAUGGUUACAGGAUAUAGACUCUCAUAUAUGUUAAUUAUCUUUAUAUGAUUUUUUUUUAGAUUAUGUAAGAUUUUGCCUUAAAAAUUGUUGAAAAGAUGGAAGACGAACAACAUGAAAUGAAGUGAAUAAGUUUAAUGCUUGUUUCAUACUCUCAAGAGUUGUUGAAAAGAUGGAAGGCGAAUAACAUGAAAUGAGGUUAACAAGUUCACUUCUUGCUUCAUAAUGAUACACUUCACAUUUGUUUCUUC